rnacentral:rRNA from 1 species
GUGUCAGCCGCCGCGGUAAUACGGGGGGGGCUAGCGUUGUUCGGAAUUACUGGGCGUAAAGGGCGCGUAGGCGGUCUGCUAAGUUGGAUGUGAAAACUCUGGGCUUAACCCAGAGCCUGCAUUCAAUACUGACAGGCUAGAGUUCUGGAGGGGAUAGCGGAAUUCCUGGUGUAGCGGUGAAAUGCGUAGAUAUCAGGAGGAACACCGGUGGCGAAGGCGGCUAUCUGGACAGAGUCUGACGCUGAGGCGCGAAAGCUAGGGGAGCAAACAGGAUUAGAAACCCCUGUAGUCC